rnacentral:tRNA from 1 species
GCCUCUGAAGGAUAACAGUCAUCCGUUGGUCUUAGGAACCAAAAACCCUUGGUGCAAAUCCAAGCAAAGGCU